rnacentral:rRNA from 1 species
AUUGAACGCUGGCGGCAGGCCUAACGCAUGCCAGUCGAGCGGAUGAAGGGAGCUUGCUCCUGGAUUCAGCGGCGGACGGGUGAGUAAUGCCUAGGAAUCUGCCUGGUAGUGGGGGAUAACGUCCGGAAACGGGCGCUAAUACCGCAUACGUCCUGAGGGAGAAAGUGGGGGAUCUUCGGACCUCACGCUAUCAGAUGAGCCUAGGUCGGAUUAGCUAGUUGGUGGGGUAAAGGCCUACCAAGGCGACGAUCCGUAACUGGUCUGAGAGGAUGAUCAGUCACACUGGAACUGAGACACGGUCCAGACUCCUACGGGAGGCAGCAGUGGGGAAUAUUGGACAAUGGGCGAAAGCCUGAUCCAGCCAUGCCGCGUGUGUGAAGAAGGUCUUCGGAUUGUAAAGCACUUUAAGUUGAGAGGAAGGGCAGUAAGUUAAUACCUUGCUGUUUUGACGUUACCAACAGAAUAAGCACCGGCUAACUUCGUG